UAGGGAAUCUUCGGCAAUGGGGGCAACCCUGACCGAGCAACGCCGCGUGAGUGAAGAAGGUUUUCGGAUCGUAAAGCUCUGUUGUAAGAGAAGAACUGUGAGAAGAGUGGAAAGUUUCUCACUUGACGGUAUCUUACCAGAAAGGGACGGCUAACUACGUGCCAGCAGCCGCGGUAAUACGUAGGUCCCGAGCGUUGUCCGGAUUUAUUGGGCGUAAAGCGAGCGCAGGCGGUUUGAUAAGUCUGAAGUAAAAGGGCUGUGGCAUUAACCGAUAGUACGCUUUGGAAACUGUCAAACUUGAGUGCAGAAGGGGAGAGUGGAAUUCCAUGUGUAGCGGUGAAAUGCGUAGAUAUAUGGAGGAACACCGGUGGCGAAAGCGGCUCUCUGGUCUGUAACUGACGCUGAGGCUCGAAAGCGUGGGGAGCGAC
rnacentral:rRNA from 1 species